rnacentral:rRNA from 1 species
AUGAUAGAGGACGACUGCGCCGACAACGGCAUCCCGCUCCCCAACGUCGACUCCAAGAUCCUCUCCAAGGUCAUCGAGUACUGCAAGAAGCACGUCCAGGCCAGCCCCAAACCGGCUGACUCCGGCGCCGCCGUCGACGCCAGCUCCUCCACCUCUACUGCAGCAGCCGCCCCCACCGAGGACCUCAAGAGCUUUGACGCCGAGUUCAUCAAGGUCGACCAGAACACCCUCUUCGACCUCAUCCUGGCUGCAAACUACCUCAACAUCAAGGGAUUGCUCGACCUUACUUGCCAGACUGUUGCAGACAUGAUCAAGGGCAAGACUCCGGAGGAGAUCCGCAAGACUUUCAACAUUAAGAAUGACUUCACACCAGAGGAGGAGGCGGAGAUCCGCAAGGAGAACUAG